AAAAAAAAAUGAAAAAAAAAACAAAUUACGA
rnacentral:sRNA from 1 species